rnacentral:rRNA from 1 species
UACAGGAGAUGCAAGUGUUAUCCGGAAUUAUUGGGCGUAAAGCGUUUGUAGGUGGAUAUUUAAGUCUUAUGUUAAAGCUCUAAGCUUAACUUAGAAAAUGCACAAGAAACUGAAUAUCUUGAGUAUAGUAGAGGUAAAGGGAAUUUUCAGUGUAGCGGUGAAAUGUGUUGAGAUUGAAAAGAACACCAAUAGCGAAGGCACUUUACUAGGCUAGUUUAGGUUUAAUACUUAAUUAAUCUGACACUGAGAAACGAAAGCUAGGGGAGCAAACAGG